rnacentral:lncRNA from 1 species
AACGAAAACAGCAGGAGAAGUGAUUGCGGAAAAGGCCAUGGUAUUGCUAGAGAAUAUUGUUUCUUCAUCAAGAAUUGGACUAGAGGAAGCUGCAGGAACAGGUGGAGCAAUUCAGUGUUUGGUGGAGGCCAUGGAGGAAGGUUAAUUUCAUGACAAUCUCAUAUAAAAUUUCACACUAUUAAUUACUCCGUUAAUUGUAUUAUGUAUCAACACGCGUUGGCCUGAUUCUUUUUCAUGGGUCAAACACAUUUCAAUUUACGACUCCCUUGCAUGCUUUGGUACCAUGUUGAGUAGUGUGACUAUAUCAUGUUGAAUCAUUUGUGACUAUAUCGUCUAAAAACUUAAUCUAUUAAAGAGAGUACACUUUUAAUUUUAAUUGUAUUACGUCUCAACAGGUUCAAGACAAUGUAAAGAAGAUGCAGUGGCAAUUUUACUCCUAAUAUGUGAGAGCUGCAGAGAGAGAUACAGAGGGAUGAUAUUGAGGGAAGGAGCUACGGCUUCAGUUGAGUGUGGAUGGGACAAAGAGAGCCAGAGACAAUGCUAAAAGACUGCUUUUGCUUUUGAAAGACCGUUCGCAUUGCAGCCCGAAGAAUAAACAGCCAAAGAAUAUUCUGCUAUUGGAACAUGUUAUGAGACAAAUUGAGCAAGUGGCAGCACUGCUUCAGUUGAGUGUGGAUGGGACAAAGAGAGCCAGAGACAAUGCUAAAAGACUGCUUUUGCUUUUGAGAGACCGUUCGCAUUGCAGCCCAAAGAAUAAACAGCCCAAGAAUAUUCUGCUAUUGGAACAUGUUAUGAGACAAAUUGAGCAAGGAGUUGGAGAGAGAGAAGGGAUGUCUGUAGCAUUCUUGGAGGAAAUGAUUUCAAAACUUAGGACAUGACAGUUCAUGUGCUAGAUGUUCGAGUUGUGCUGAUAGUUGCAGUAAAUUUCAUUUGCUUUCUGAGUUUUGGAAGGGGCACAUGACCAAUGUUGUAUGAUUAUUUAUCAUAUAUCUGUACAUAAACUUCGAUUUAGAUUAUUUUCUUAGCUGUAUCGUACGCUACAAUUUGACAAAAGAAGUUCAUUUCCUAUCUUUUCAGCUCGGUAUUUCUCAUUUCCUUUUUCUUUUUAGCUCAAAAAUGAUCGGUUGGGGAUGAAAGGAGGAAAACAGGAGGAGAAAAAGUAAAAGGAAAGAGGAAUGAAUAAUUUUUCAUACUUGAUAAGUCGGAAUACCGAAUAUAGUCUUGGAGAGUACCAGUGAAGUUGUCACCAUAUGACCUAUAGAUUAUGAAUUUGCGGUCAUUUUUCAAAUUCAAUAUGAAUACGGGAUACUUUGUAUAUCGCGCUGCCCUUAAGGUAAGUCAGAACACCUCCUCUAUAAUUAUUUCCAAGCUUCUUAUAGGACAGAGAUGGAGAAAAAUGAACAACCAAUAGUCCAUUAGAAAAAGAAGAAGUUACCUUAUGGGAUUUUUUUCCUCCUAUACCAUAUAUGAAACUUUAUUACCAAAUAUGUGCAUAGUUUCUAAUUUACCCGUCAUGUUCAUACUUUUUCUACAAUUAUUAUACUAUUCAUUAAAUAUUAAUUAUUAGUAACUGAAUCUUCCUAAUUAGACGCACUACAAAUUAGGAACAGAAUAUUCUAAUUGAUUUAGCGACCUUCAGAUAGAAAUUGAAAUGGAAAUCCUUUAUCUUCAAUUUAAAAUCAAAUUACAUAGACUCUUUUCUGCAAAAACUCUGUUCUUCGAUAUUUUUCCAUAAGCCACAAAAUAAAAUAAAAAAGCAAAAUCGUCAACAAAUUCGAAUCAAAUUGUAGAAAUCAGUUCUACAAAAGCUCAGUUCAUCAAUUUUUUUUCCUCAAUCCACUGAUCAAAAAAGCGAUAAAAUAUUCAACAAAUUUAAGUCCAUUGUAGAAAUCAAUUCUGUCGAUACUCUGUUCUUCGCCUUUUUUUCUUAAUCCAAAAAAUUAAUAAAACAACAAAAUAUUGAACAAUACCUCAUCAACGACACGCAAUCAUGUCAAAAUUCCAAUCAUGCAACAAUUAAAUGAGAAUUGGGAUAGCUAUGGCAGAUUUAGAGAUUUUCACGUUAACAGCAUUGUGCUCGAUGAAGAUGCAAGUUACAAUAUGUUGAUUUCUACAGUUGCGGAACAAUUAAUGAUUGAUACUUUGAAAAAAUUUGUAGAAAUCAAAUACAUUGUGAAUGAGAAUUGUCCUCCAAUGCAGAUUAGGAACGAUAUGGGGGUUGUGU